AGGAUCAUUAGUGAAUAUAGGACGUCCAACUUAACUUGGAGUCCGAACUCUCACUUUCUAACCCUGUGCACUUGUUUGGGAUAGUAACUCUCGCAAGAGAGCGAACUCCUAUUCACUUAUAAACACAAAGUCUAUGAAUGUAUUAAAUUUUAUAACAAAAUAAAACUUUCAACAACGGAUCUCUUGGCUCUCGCAUCGAUGAAGAACGCAGCGAAAUGCGAUAAGUAAUGUGAAUUGCAGAAUUCAGUGAAUCAUCGAAUCUUUGAACGCACCUUGCGCUCCAUGGUAUUCCGUGGAGCAUGCCUGUUUGAGUGUCAUGAAUACUUCAACCCUCCUCUUUCUUAAUGAUUGAAGAGGUGUUUGGUUUCUGAGCGCUGCUGGCCUUUACGGUCUAGCUCGUUCGUAAUGCAUUAGCAUCCGCAAUCGAACUUCGGAUUGACUUGGCGUAAUAGACUAUUCGCUGAGGAAUUCUAGUCUUCGGAUUAGAGCCGGGUUGGGUUAAAGGAAGCUUCUAAUCAGAAUGUCUACAUUUUAAGAUUAGAUCUCAAAUCAGGUAGGACUACCCGCUGAACUUAAGCAUAUCAAUAAGCGGAGGAAAAGAAACUAACAAGGAUUCCCCUAGUAGCGGCGAGCGAAGCGGGAAGAGCUCAAAUUUAUAAUCUGGCACCUUCGGUGUCCGAGUUGUAAUCUCUAGAAAUGUUUUCCGCGUUGGACCGCACACAAGUCUGUUGGAAUACAGCGGCAUAGUGGUGAGACCCCCGUAUAUGGUGCGGACGCCCAGCGCUUUGUGAUACAUUUUCGAAGAGUCGAGUUGUUUGGGAAUGCAGCUCAAAUUGGGUGGUAAAUUCCAUCUAAAGCUAAAUAUUGGCGAGAGACCGAUAGCGAACAAGUACCGUGAGGGAAAGAUGAAAAGCACUUUGGAAAGAGAGUUAACAGUACGUGAAAUUGUUGGAAGGGAAACGCUUGAAGUCAGACUUGCUUGCCGAGCAAUCGGUUUGCAGGCCAGCAUCAGUUUUCCGGGAUGGAUAAUGGUAGAGAGAAGGUAGCAGUUUCGGCUGUGUUAUAGCUCUCUGCUGGAUACAUCUUGGGGGACUGAGGAACGCAGUGUGCCUUUGGCGGGGGUUUCGACCUCUUCACACUUAG
rnacentral:rRNA from 1 species